rnacentral:rRNA from 1 species
UACGGAGGGUGCGAGCGUUAUUCGGAAUUACUGGGCGUAAAGCGCGUGUAGGCGGGGAGGCAAGUCUGAUGUGAAAGACCCGGGCUUAACCUGGGAAGUGCAUUGGAAACUGCAUUUCUUGAGUGCUGGAGAGGAAGGGGGAAUUCCCGGUGUAGAGGUGAAAUUCGUAGAGAUCGGGAGGAAUACCAGUGGCGAAGGCGCCCUUCUGGACGGCAACUGACGCUGAGACGCGAAGGCGUGGGGAGCAAACAGG